rnacentral:rRNA from 1 species
UGAAAUCAUACUUGGCAUCAUACCGGAAUGGGAAGAAGGAAAAAACAGUUUCCCAAUUCUCCUCCACACAUUUAUUCUUCUUCUCUUACUCCACCGAUCCAAAGCAUAGCAGGGGCCCCAAGAUCCCACCGCCUCAGCUUGCAUGUGGUUGGCAUCGCCCAAGAAAAAUAGCCCCCCCCCACCACACACACACACACACACCAUACACACACACACACACAAGUCCCCGCAGUUGUGCAGCCAGGGGAGAGAGUAUCUAGUGAAACGAGCAGACUGAUGCUCCAGGUACACCAACGAUAGAUGGGCCGUUGGAUUCGUAAGAGAGGGACGGGAUUCAGUUCGAUGAUUGGUCUCCUGGUAUAUUUGCAAAACAGUCCUCGCAGUACAGCUAAAUCCAGCAAAUUGACCUCCACGCAUCCAUAUCGUCUUCCUUCCCUUCCUGUGUUCUAUACCAAGCCUGGAGCUAGGGCUAAGCAAAAUCUAGGUGAGCUCUCUCUCUGUGCUGGUACCUCGUUACACCAGAUGUGCCUUCCCCCCUUCCAACUUUUCUCUCUCUGUCCGGCUUCCGGUGUUGACGCAUCAGUGCCCAUAAUCCAACUCAUGUGGUCCACCGGCGGCUCGCCGCGAUUGCGUCCACCUAGCGACGCGGUGCUGUAGCUCCGGGGAUAUCGAUGUUGCGGCUGAUUAGGAGCCAACCAUCCUCUUUUUACUGAUACAGGAUCCACGUGGCAUUUGGUAAAUUGAAUAGCAUGAGCACCGAAUCAAUGUGCGACAUGCAUUUCUACUGGAUAAUUUUACCAGUAAUUAUAGGCGAGUGGGAAAAUAGACGAGGAGAAAUAUGUUUGUACAAUAUGUAUGUCAAGCACAAGAUGGAUCAAUUGCUUCAUUAGAUAAAAUAAACAGCACACCCUGCCAACAAUAUGAUAAUUCUCAUUGUGUCAACAUAUAUUCAGGACCAUACUUUCCAGAGGUAUACUCUAAUAAUGCGGUACUUGUAUUGCAAGUGAAGCAUGGGCUGAAUAGGUAAAUCAUAAGGGCAAAGUUUAUCCUCAACUGGUGCAGCAAGAUUGGAAAUAGACAAACGAGCAGUGUGAUUAUAAAUAUUUUUCAUGUUUUCCAAGUAAAAAGAAAGUUUCCAUAUGACUGUUAGUACUUGUGUAUGAACAAGUUAAUACCUGGGAUUUAUGUACAAGUCAGCGGUAUAUUAUUUGCUACGCAACUCUUGUUAUUCACUUUGUUGAUUUUGAAUGCCCUUUUUGAUGCCCAACUGAUGAAAUCCUCACUAAUUUUCAUGUUCCAGAUUUGAUCUUGCCAGAAUUCUCACUAUUAGAACCUGUACUUACAACCAGCUAUUGUUCCUGACUUCAUUUUGAUAGGAUCUACUCAUACUCUCGAUCAAUAGCAAUAUAGUGGUGAUUACAGAGGCAGGUUACAAGAUUGCGAGCUAGGGUUCGUCAUGGAGAGGAAGAAA